UACGUAGGGUGCGAGCGUUGUCCGGAAUUAUUGGGCGUAAAGGGCUCGUAGGCGGUUUGUCGCGUCGGGAGUGAAAACCCAGGGCUUAACCCUGGGCUGGCUUCCGAUACGGGCAGACUAGAGGUAUGCAGGGGAGAACGGAAUUCCUGGUGUAGCGGUGAAAUGCGCAGAUAUCAGGAGGAGCACCGGUGGCGAAGGCGGUUCUCUGGGCAUUACCUGACGCUGAGGAGCGAAAGCGUGGGGAGCGAACAGG
rnacentral:rRNA from 1 species